UGCGUGUAUAAAUUUAAGAUUUACAAGUAUAUAAACUGAUGAUGAAUAGGAAUUAACUGGCGUUUGAUAUUGCAGAAGAUAAGAGGAUAGGAGCGAUUUGGGAUGUAACCGGUGUUAUAUGACCAUACAGGACACAGAAAGAUAAUGGAACAACAGAACAAAUCAGGCUCCAGCAUGUGAUGGUGUGUCUUGAGUUGAUCUUCUCGGGAUUCUCCUGUCUCUCCAGUCCCAGUGAGCAGGUCCUCUCCACCCUGACUCGCAGGCUCUGUGACGGUGUGUCCA